rnacentral:rRNA from 1 species
GACGAACGCUGGCGGCGUGCUUAACACAUGCAAGUCGAACGGAAAGGCCCUGCUUUUGUGGGGUGCUCGAGUGGCGAACGGGUGAGUAACACGUGAGUAACCUGCCCUUGACUUUGGGAUAACUUCAGGAAACUGGGGCUAAUACCGGAUAGGAGCUCCUGCUGCAUGGUGGGGGUUGGAAAGUUUGGGCGGUUGGGGAUGGACUGGCGGCUGAUCAGCUUGUGGGUGGGGUGGUGGCUUACGAAGGCUUUGACGGGUAGCCGGCCUGAGAGGGUGACCGGCUACAUUGGGACUGGGAUACGGACCAGACUCCGACGGGAGCCAGCAGUGGGAGAUAUUGAACAAUGGGAGGAAGCGUGAUGCAGCAACGGCGCGGGCGGGAUGAUGGCCUUCGGGUUGUAAACCGCUUUCGCCUGUGACGAAGCGUGAGUGACGGUAAUAGGUAAAGAAGCACCGGCUAACUACGUG